rnacentral:rRNA from 1 species
AUUGAACGCUGGCGGCAUGCUUUACACAUGCAAGUCGAACGCGUGGCGAACGGGUGAGUAAUAUAUCGGAACGUACCGAGUAAUGGGGGAUAACCAAUCGAAAGUUUGGCUAAUACCGCCUAUUCUUCGCGCGGCCGAUAACUGUUUAGCUAGUUGGUGGGGUAAAGUCCUACCAAGGCGACGAUCAGUAGCGUGUCUGAGAGGACGAUCCGCCACACUGGUACUGAGACACGGCCCAGACUCCUACGGGAGGCAGCAGUGGGGAAUUGUGGACAAUGUGGGCAACCCUGAUCCAGCCAUGCCGCGUGUAUGAAGAAGGCCUUCGGGUUGUAAAGUACUUUUGUUAGGGAAGCGGUACCUAAAUAAUAAGCUCCGGCUAACUACGUGCCAUCAGCCGCGGUAAUUC